CACUUGGUUUCUAUUGAUUUCUUUUGCAGAUGAUAAUGGAAAUGCUCAAAGACUAAGUGGCCUCCAGGGGUAAGUCCUGUUUUAUCAUGGACCUGACACAGGGAAUCAUCCCACCCAUGGGUCAGUGCAGUGAGGUGGUUCCACUGACCAUGAGGGGCCAAAUCUGUCCUGAACUCUGACAUGUGCCAAACAUGGGGCCUCACCCCUGCCACCCUCCUACGAUGAUGUACCCUUGAGUUUGGGGUCCCCAGGCAGAUCUUGCAGACCACCCUCUUGUGCCAGAAGCACAAAUGCACCCUGAAGGAACAGUGAUCUUAAAGAGCUACAUGGCCUCCAGGAGCUCUGCUUAGGGAUAUUCUUCAGCCUUAAAAAAGGCAACAGUGGACAGACCUGAGGACAGCGUGCCAGUAGCUCUGAGCUGUGCAUGGGCCCAGCAUGGAUAUUGCCUGGCCAACCCAGAGUCCAGCAUGAACAUACGUCCAGUCCUCAUUCUCUACUGAAAAGUGGAUUAUGAGCAAGAAGAGGAUGUUUUUUGUCAUCGUUGUCACCACUGCCCCUUGGCUUUACAGGAAGAAGACAAGAAAAAGAUGGCUAACUUUGGAAAUGAAGAAGCCAAACUAUCAGUUUUCACAUGAAAUUAUUGUAUAUGUAUUAAAUUUUAAAAAUUAACAGAUACAACAAUAAUAUUAAUAAGAAAGUUUAUAGCAAAGCUACCAAAAAAAUCAGUAUAAAAAGUCAGUUGUAUUUACAUAUAAGAGCAACAAAUGGAAAAUCCAAUUUUAAAAUACCCUAUUUACAAGUAGCAUCCAAAAAUAGCAAUGAGAAUAAAUAUAAAAUAAUGAUAUGAAAGACCAGUAUAAAGGAAAAUUAUACAACUUUACUGAAUGGUACUGAAAACCUAAACAAAUGGAGAGAGAUGUUUAUGGAAUGAAAGUUUCAAAAUGCAAAGAAGUCACUUAUCUCUAAAUUGAUUUCUUGAUUCAACACAAUCCCACCUGAAAUUCCAAGAGGUAUUUUUAGAAAGUGACACACAACAAGAUAAUUCAAAAUGUUUUUAAAAAAUCCAGGAAGGAGACUAGCCAAGGUAUUGAAGAAGCAGGAGAAGGAGGAGGGAAAAAGGAGGACAAAGAAGGAUGAGACCAUGGACUGUCAAAUGUGGAGAUGUAAGGCUGGCUUAUCAGUGUGUGCUGUGGGAUGCAGGAGCAGACCCAUUGCUGAGUGGAACAGAAGAGAGCCUGUGUGUGCACAGUGACAACGCCAGUUCAGAGCCAUGGGAGUGUUGCACUGAUGUCACCAGGAUGUCAUCAAUGACAUACUAUGUUUCCAAUACAACCAUAUAUUAAAUUAUACUAUUAUAUUGUAUUUUCCCCAUGAAUAGCCCAAAUCUGGAAGCAACCCAGUGUUCCUCAACAGUGGCAUGAUAGAAUGGAUUUAUAAACUCUGAUGUAUUCAUUCAAAAAAUAUUUAGAGAAAAAAAGCUGGCUACACAAAACCAUAUGCAUAAAUCUAUAAACCUUAAUAUAUAAAUCUUAAUGUAUAAACUUGAAUAAAAAAGAAAACAUAAACUAUAGUACAAUGGUAUUCAUAUAAAGGUCAAAGGUGGGCAAAGUUAAACUAUGGUUUAUGGGGAUGCUUGUGAUGGUGGGUAAGAAAGCCAAGGAAAUAAUUGCCACACCAGAGAGGACAAUGGGCUGUCUUAGUGGGAGUGAGGGCACUGUGGUUGGAAGGACUCCUGGGACAGGAUGUGCAGUUUCUGGGCUUCAUGCAUAGAUACUUGGCUUUCCAACCAUGUGUUAAAUGUUACCUAUAACACAUGCACAUUUCUGUGUAUUCUAUUUUGCAAUAGAAAACUUAAAAAAAUAGUAUAACUAGA